rnacentral:rRNA from 1 species
AUUAACGCUAGCGGCAGGCAUAAUACAUGCAAGUUGAACGGCAGCACAGGUAGCAAUACUGGGUGGCGAGUGGCGCACGGGUGCGUAACACGUAUGCAACCUACCCUAUACAGGCGAAUAACCCUUAGAAAUGAGGGCUAAUACGCCGUAGUAUUACAGAUGGGCAUCUAUUUGUAAUUAAAGAUUUAUCGGUAUAGGAUGGGCAUGUGUCCCAUUAGUUAGUUGGUAAGGUAACGGCUUACCAAGACGAUGAUGGGUAGGGG